AACGAACGCUGGCGGCAUGCCUAACACAUGCAAGUCGAACGAGACCUUCGGGUCUAGUGGCGCACGGGUGCGUAACGCGUGGGAAUCUGCCCUUGGGUUCGGAAUAACUCGCCGAAAGGCGUGCUAAUACCGGAUGAUGUCGUAAGACCAAAGAUUUAUCGCCCAGAGAUGGACCUGCGUUGUAUUAGCUAGUUGGUAAGGUAACAGCUUACCAAGGCGACGAUACAUAGCCGACCUGAGAGGGUGAUCGGCCACACUGGGACUGAGACACGGCCCAG
rnacentral:rRNA from 1 species